UACGGAGGGUGCAAGCGUUAUCCGGAUUUACUGGGUUUAAAGGGUGCGUAGGCGGGCAGGUAAGUCAGUGGUGAAAUCUCCGGGCUUAACCCGGAAACUGCCGUUGAUACUAUCUGUCUUGAAUAUUGUGGAGGUAAGCGGAAUAUGUCAUGUAGCGGUGAAAUGCUUAGAUAUGACAUAGAACACCAAUUGCGAAGGCAGCUUACUACACAGUUAUUGACGCUGAGGCACGAAAGCGUGGGGAUCAAACAGG
rnacentral:rRNA from 1 species